GGGGGUGUUGCUCAGUGGUAGAGCACAUGCUUAGUGAGUGGGAGGUCCUGGGUUCAAUCUCCAGUACCUCUA
rnacentral:tRNA from 1 species